ensembl:lncRNA
GGAAUACUUACACGGUUUUGUUCAGCCCAAGAAUGUAUAUGGAUUGUAUUUAGAGAGCUGAAGCCAGCCUUGUGUUUUCACCUGGUUAAAGGAAAAUCGUAUUUUGAUUUGUGAAAUGUAUUGGUCGAUGAGAGAUUUUUUUGCUGUGUUCUGUUUUUUAACAGUUUUUUUCCCAGCAGCAAAUGAAGCAGAAAAUGACAUUUUGCUUUCUCGGGCUAGUGUGGAUAACCGAUGUGCUCCUGGGAUGUCUCCACUUGGGCCCAUCCAGAGGUUGUCCGCAGCUUUCCAGUUUUUUUCUCUUAGUUUGAGGAAGCUAUCACUACAGCCAGACCUACACGCAGAUCCUCUGUCAAAUCGUUUCCUCAUGUCAUAACUUUUAGCCAUAGCAAGGCUUUUGUGGAUUACCCUUGUCAAGUAUGUGGUGGGAACAUUUGAAUCCAAAAGCAGUUUAAGUGUUGCUGACCACUGAUGUCGUGCCGAGGUUAAAAGGAGAAACCAUUUCCAAUCAGGCUAAUCCUCUUGACUGGAAUGCAACACAGUCCUGCAGACGUGCAGGCCCUCUCACAAAGCCACCUUUGUUUCCUGCUGUUCCUGUUCCCAUAGCCCUUCAUCCCUCCAUGAUGGUGAGCUGCAUGAAGGGCUGAAACCUGAACUGCAGCUGUAAGGAGCUCUUCCUCAAUCCAUGCGUCUGCAGCAAGCUGUGCCUCUUUUUUGUGUUUUUUUGUGUCCGAUUUUAUUUGUGUGUACAGAAAGGUUAAAUGAGCACUCGCACGCUGCAGCUCAUCUUCGAUAUAAACAAUUCUUGAGUAUGAGUUCUAGUAAAUACAGUACUUGUGUUAUCUACAUUUUAGGAAAUAACUCGGAAAUGUUGUUUAUGAUGCAGCUUUAAAGGAAGGAAUUGUUCAGAUUUAAAGGCGUGUAAUGCAUUCAAUCGAAUAUCCUCAAUUGAAACACUAAUGCAAUUGCAAAUGCUUCUUCAUCCAAAUGCAUGUUUUGUCUGAAAAAAAGUAGAAAAAAAAUGAAAUGUGUUCAAAUCCAAAGCAAGAGAGUAAGUCAUAUAAUGACUACUACACAUCACAAAUCCUAGGGCAGAUUCAAGCUUGCCUGAAAAGUGCAGCCUUAGAAGCUUGACAGACAGAAAUGAACCUGGAUGUCAUAACAAAGGCUUUGAAUUGGUAGAUGGCACAGUAGGAUGCUGGGGGACAGGAAUGAGUUAACUAUAGGAAUCUUAUGUUUCUAGUACGUGUGUGAGGCAGAGUCUUUAUUGCGGGCUCCAGUAGUCUAUUUACCGUUUGAUCCAUUAAAGGAUUGACAGAGGAAAAAUGCAUUGCUUUGUUGUAAACUCUGCAAGGUGUAGAGAGGGCAAGUUUGGACAAAGAAAAUGCAUGAGAUUUUGCUUGGCUUUUAUGCCUGAUCUUAUUCAAACCAUUCACAUUUCAAUCAAAAGACGUCUUAAACAUCUUCACCACACAACCGCCAACUGAGAUGCCAACUCGUAAUAUAUUUCAGUUACAGAGUUUAUGGGCUGUGCUGUAUUGCAAGUGAGAGUUGCCAUUUUGUAACCUGGACAGCAGCUGUCAGAUCAGAAAGCUGUUGUUUCUGUAUACUGACAUUCACCACAUCUUUUAUCUUCUCAAAUAAGCAUUCAAUGACUGAAAAUAUUAGUUUGCACAAGUUAUUCUUUGAUGAUGAUACAUAUCAGUGAGCUUUAAUAUGAGUAUGAAGAUUAACUUAUCAGCACAACAAGUUUAUAUAAGGAAUGGAGUAGCUGUGAAUGUUACACUUUCCAGACUACACUAAUAAUAGGACAGUGAAAAUAACAAAAUAUGAUGACUCAUUCAUUUCCCCUCUUUGAAGAACAUAAAUCAUCUUAUGUGCAAUUUAAAAAUAUAUAUAUAUUAUAUAUAUAUAUGCCUAGAGACAAUUGUAUUGUUAUGGCGC